GUGACUUCAAUGACCUGGUGAUGAGUAGAGCAGCAUUUGCUUCCCCAUUUAAGGCAGGUGAUCCGGUUCUUGAUAAGAUCGACCAUGAACUUCUCCACCAUAAUCGUGAUGAACCAGUGCCAGGCGGGUGGUGUUUAGGUGACACUGAAACUAACAAAUGUACCGUUUGGGGAGAUGCUGAAAUCAUAAGACCGGGUUUUGGUGCAAAGAGACUCGAGAAACAUUUUCUUGAGCUUUUCUCUAACGGAUCAUAUUUGUCUGAUCAAUGUCAAUAUGAGAAGAGAUCCUCCUCCAGAUGAUUAACAUCUAAAUUGCACGGACUCUGCACUUGUGUCAGAUUCUUCAAA
rnacentral:misc_RNA from 1 species